UUACUAGAGUAGCACUCGCAUAUCAAUAAGCGGAGGAAAAGAAACUAACAAGGAUUCCCCUAGUAACGGCGAGUGAAGCGGGAAGAGCUCAAAUUUGAAAUCUUAAAGGGUUUCCCUUUACGAAUUGUAGUUUAAAGAAGUGUUUUCUGUUGAGGUUUUGGUAAAAGUUCUUUGGAAUAGGACAUCAUAGAGGGUGAGAAUCCCGUAUUUGACCUUUACUUUCAACUUUGUGAUACACUUUCAAAGAGUCGGAUUGUUUGGGAAUGCAGUCCAAAAUGGGUGGUAAAUUUCAUCUAAAGCUAAAUAUUGGCGAGAGACCGAUAGCGAACAAGUACCGUGAGGGAAAGAUGAAAAGAACUUUGAAAAGAGAGUUAAACAGUACGUGAAAUUGUCAAAAGGGAAGCGUUUGACACCAGUGUUGCUUUUCUGAAAAUCAAUUAAAGAACUGUUUAUGCUAAGUUGUUUAGACUUUAUCAGCUAACUGUUUAGUUUUGAGCUUUUCUUUAAUGCACUUUUCAGUUAACAAGUCAACAUCAAUUUCUUUUGCUGUAAAAAAGCUUGAGGAAGGUGGCUUGAGAUUCGUCUUAAGUGUGUAUAGCCUCUUGCCUAUGCAGUCGGAGAGAUUGAGGUCUGCAGCGUAGAUCCUUCGGGGCUAAAUGCAUUUGUGCUAAGUUAUAGCAUUUUAUAGACAACUUGUUGACUAUGAUUUGUCUUGUAGCUUACUCGCUUAUGUUAUUUUACCUACGCUUAGGAUGUUGAACUCUAUCACACACAG
rnacentral:rRNA from 1 species